rnacentral:rRNA from 1 species
AAAACAUGGGGGGUAGGUGGUGGGGUAAGACGUAGUGUGGAAGUGGUUGCAGGAAUGUUUGGGAGUAAAGCGUGCGGAGGAGGUUAGGUAAGUCGGAUGUUAAAGUCGAGGGCUCAAGCGGUGAAGGUCAUUGGAUACGGGCGGACUCGAGUGGAGUAGAGGCAAUCGGAAUUCCAAGUGUAGCGGUGAAAUGCGUAGAGAGUUGGAAGAACACCAGUGGCGCAGGCGGAUUUCUGGUCCAUAACUGACGCUGAGGAGCGAAAGCUAGGGGAGCAAACGGGAUUAGAUACCCUAGUAGUC